UUUGCACUUUUGGGACUAUUCUGUUGGUGUCAUUGAACAAGGCAAACAGAAUCAGCUCAAGUAUUUAGAAGUAUUUGAUCCAGGUCUGUCUGGUGAUAGCUGGAGCUAUAUAGAGGGUGGUUGGCCAGUAGGGUACAUUCUAUGGUAGAUGGGAGUAGAAGUGGUUAGUAGGAACGUUCUAUGGUAGAUGGGAGUAGAGGUGGUUAGUAGGAACGUUCUAUGGUAGAUGGGAGUAGAGGUGGUUAGUAGGAACGUUCUAUGGUAGAUGGGAGUAGAGGUGGUUAGUAGGAACGUUCUAUGGUAGAUGGGAGUAGAGGUGGUUAGUUGGCCAGUAGGAACGUUCUAUGGUAGAUGGGAGUAGAGGUGGUUAGUAGGAACGUUCUAUGGUAGAUGGGAGUAGAGGUGGUUAGUUGGCCAGUAGGAACGUUCUAUGGUAGAUGGGAGUAGAGGUGGUUAGUUGACCAGUAGGAACGUUCUAUGUUAGAUGGGAGUAGAGGUGGUUAGUUGACCAGUAGGAACGUUCUAUGGUAGAUGGGAGUAGAGGUGGUUAGUUGGCCAGUAGGAACGUUCUAUGGUAGAUGGGAGUAGAGGUGGUUAGUUGGCCAGUAGGAACGUUCUAUGGUAGAUGGGAGUAGAGGUGGUUAGUUGACCAGUAGGAACGUUCUAUGGUAGAUGGGAGUAGAGGUGGUUAGUUGGACAGUAGGAACGUUCUAUGGUAGAUGGGAGUAGAGGUGGUUAGUUGGCCAGUAGGAACGUUCUAUGGUAGAUGGGAGUAGAGGUGGUUAGUUGACCAGUAGGAACGUUCUAUGGUAGAUGGGAGUAGAGGUGGUUAGUAGGAACGUUCUAUGGUAGGUGGGAGUAGAGGUGGUUAGUAGGAACGUUCUAUGGUAGAUGGGAGUAGAGGUGGUUAGUUGGCCAGUAGGAACGUUCUAUGGUAGAUGGGAGUAGAGGUGGUUAGUUGACCAGUAGGAACGUUCUAUGGUAGAUGGGAGUAGAGGUGGUUAGUAGGAACGUUCUAUGUUAGAUGGGUGUAGAGGUGGUUAGUUGACCAGUAGGAACGUUCUAUGGUAGAUGGGAGUAGAGGUGGUUAGUUGACCAGUAGGAACGUUCUAUGGUAGAUGGGAGUAGAGGUGGUUAGUAGGAACGUUCUAUGGUUGAUGGGAGUAGAGGUGGUUAGUUGGCCAGUAGGAACGUUCUAUGGUAGAUGGGAGUAGAGUUGGUUAGUUGACCAGUAGGAACGUUCUAUGGUAGAUGGGAGUAGAGGUGGUUAGUUGACCAGUAGGAACGUUCUAUGGUAGAUGAGAGUAGAGGUGGUUAGUUGGCCAGUAGGAACGUUCUAUGUUAGAUGGGUGUAGAGGUGGUUAGUAGAGUUAUUGGAUUUUAAUGAGUGGUAGAGGGAGGCACUGAGAGUGAACAGCAGCUAACCUAAAUAAUGUGACCCAGUAUAUGGAUGUGUCUUCCUAUUCCCUAUCUAGUGCACAACUUUAGACCAGAGCCCUAUUCCCUAUAUAGUGGUACUACUAUAGACCAGAGCCCUAUUCCCUAUAUAGCGGUACUACUAUAGACCAGAGCCCUAUUCCCUAUGUAGUGCACUACUUUUCACAAAAGCCCUAUGGGCCUGGUCAACGGUAGUGAACUAAUAGGGAAUAGGGUGACAUUUGGGACAAAGAUCCAAUCUAUGUAUUUAAAAAAUGAUGUUUUACUAAGAGAUGCUUCUUGACAUGAAUGAAAACUGAUAGACAUUCUGAUUAUGAACACGUGUCAUAAGGAGACCAGCAGUACAAGACUAGAUGACCACCAUGAUUCCUAGACCAGCAGUACAAAACUAGAUGACCACCAUGAUUCCUAGACCAGCAGUACUAGACUAGAUGACCACCAUGAUUCCUAGACCAGCAGUACAAGACUAGAUGACCACCAUGAUUCCUAGACCAGCAGUACUAGACUAGAUGACCACCAUGAUUCCUAGACCAGCAGUACAAGACUAGAUGACCACCAUGAUUCCCUAGACCAGCAGUACAAGACUAGAUGACCACCAUGAUUCCCUAGACCAGCAGUACAAGACUAGAUGACCACCAUGAUUCCCUAGACCAGCAGUACAAGACUAGAUGACCACCAUGAUUCCUAGACCAGCAGUACUAGACUAGAUGACCACCAUGAUUCCCUAGACCAGCAGUACAAGACUAGAUGACCACCAUGAUUCCCUAGACCAGCAGUACAAGACUAGAUGACCACCAUGAUUCCUAGACCAGCAGUACAAGACUAGAUGACCACCAUGAUUCCCUAGACCAGCAGUACAAGACUAGAUGACCACCAUGAUUCCUAGACCAGCAGUACAAGACUAGAUGACCACCAUGAUUCCUAGACCAGCAGUACAAGACUAGAUGACCACCAUGAUUCCUAGACCAGCAGUACAAGACUAGAUGACCACCAUGAUUCCUAGACCAGCAGUACAAGACUAGAUGACCACCAUGAUUCCUAGACCAGCAGUACAAGACUAGAUGACCACCAUGAUUCCUAUUGAAUCGUCUCUCGUCAGCAAUUCAUUUCAUAUUAUUUAUUUAUUUAUUUUCACAGUUUGAGAUUUCGUCAAAUAAAAUAAGUCAAUGAAUAUUCUCUGGUAUCUGACUGUGGGCUGCAUAGAAUAUAGUAUAGCAUCACAUUUACACUGGAUGCAUACAUGCAUAUUCAAGAGAAGUUAUUCCUUGAAGAGAAAUACCUAGAAUGUGUUGGUUAGUCUAUAUGUUGUUUACAUAUUUUAUGCUUUUACUCAUCUCAUAUGUAUAUACUGUAUUCUAUUCUACUGUAUUUUAAUCUAUGCCACUCUGACGUUGCUCAUCCUAAUACUUGUAUAUUCCUUAAUUCCAUUCUUUUACUUUUAAAAUUGUGUGUAUCGUUCGAUAUUAUUGCACUGUUGCACAAGCAUGUCACUACAACCGCAAUAACAUCUCCUCUACAUGUGUAUGUGAC